rfam:Triticum urartu cultivar G1812 contig264101, whole genome shotgun sequence.
GUAGUACUCCCUCCGUCCGGAAAUACUUGUCCGAGGAAUGGAUGUAUCUAGAUGUAUUUUAGUUCUAAAUACAUCUAUUUGUAUCCAUUUCUAUGACAAGUAUUUCCGUAUAAAGGGAGUACUUG